AUCCUUGUCUCAAAGAUUAAGCCAUGCAUGUCUAAGUAUAAACAACUUUAUACUGUGAAACUGCGAAUGGCUCAUUAAAUCAGUUAUAGUUUAUUUGAUAGUACUUACUACUUGGAUAACCGUGGUAAUUCUAGAGCUAAUACAUGCGAAAAGACCCGACUUCUGGAAGGGUUGUAUUUAUUAGAUAAAAAACCAAUCGGGGCAACCCGUUUGUGGUGAUUCAUAAUAACUUUGCGAAUCGCAUGGCCUUGUGCCGGCGAUGAAUCGUUCAAAUUUCUGCCCCAUCAACUUUCGAUGGUAAGGUAUUGGCUUACCAUGGUUGCAACGGGUAACGGGGAAUA
rnacentral:rRNA from 1 species